CAAAAAAGGUCAAGACAGACUAUUAUGUUGCUAAAAACAGUAUAUUUAUAUAACUUUUUAUGAUAUUUCCUGAAGGUAUUCUGAAAAAUCGGGAGAAUUUGAUAAAAAUCUGAAGACCGGGAGAUUGCAUGAAUUUUCGGGAGACUCCGGGUAAAAUCGGGAGAGUUGGAAUGUCUGGAGGCACACCGCAAUUAACUCAUUAAGCUGCAGAGUAAAGUAAAGAAAAUAAGUAGGGCG